AGCGAACGCUGGCGGCAGGCUUAACAUAUGCAAGUCGAGCGCCCCGCAAGGGGAGCGGCAGACGGGAGAGUAACACGUGGGAACAUACCUUUUGGUUCGGAACAACUGAGGGAAACUUCAGCUAAUACCGGAUAAGCCCUUACGGGGAAAGAUUUAUCGCCGAAAGAUUGGCCCGCGUCUGAUUAGCUAGUUGGUGAGGUAACGGCUCACCAAGGCGACGAUCAGUAGCUGGUCUGAGAGGAUGAUCAGCCUCACUGGGACUGAGACACGGCCCAGACUCCUACGGGAGGCAGCAGUGGGGAAUAUUGGACAAUGGGGGCAACCCUGAUCCAGCCAUGCCGCGUGAGUGAUGAAGGCCUUAGGGUUGUAAAGCUCUUUUGCCCGGGAAGAUAAUGACGGUACCGGGAGAAUAAGCCCCGGCUAACUUCGUG
rnacentral:rRNA from 1 species